AACGGGGUGCCAUGAGUGGCUGAGAGAUUUCUCAAAAGGAAAUAAACCCGUCGAACCUGAACCGGUUAAUACCGGCGGAGGGAAUUGAAGA
rnacentral:ncRNA from 1 species